GAGUUUGAUUCUGGCUCAGGAUGAACGCUGACAGAAUGCUUAACACAUGCAAGUCAACUUGAAUUUGGGUCCUAGACUUAGAUUUGGGUGGCGGACGGGUGAGUAACGCGUAAAGAACUUGCCUCACAGAUAGGGACAACAUUUGGAAACGAAUGCUAAUACCUGAUAUUAUGAUUUUAGGGCAUCCUAAGAUUAUGAAAGCUACAUGCGCUGUGAGAGAGCUUUGCGUCCCAUUAGCUAGUUGGAGAGGUAACGGCUCACCAAGGCGAUGAUGGGUAGCCGGCCUGAGAGGGUGAACGGCCACAAGGGGACUGAGACACGGCCCUUACUCCUACGGGAGGCAGCAGUGGGGAAUAUUGGACAAUGGACCAAGAGUCUGAUCCAGCAAUUCUGUGUGCACGAUGAAGUUUUUCGGAAUGUAAAGUGCUUUCAGUUGGGAAGAAAAGAAUGACGUACCAACAGAAGAAGGC
rnacentral:rRNA from 1 species